rnacentral:misc_RNA from 1 species
GAGAAGGAACGUGGUAAUCUACUGAAAGCUUUUGGUACACAGGUCGCAGAGCCAUUAAGAGCAAUGGUAAUGGGAGCUCCAUUGGAGGAUGCUCGGCAUCUUGCACAACGUUAUGAAAGAAUGCGGCAAGAAGCAGAAGCUCAGGCUAUUGAAGUUUCCAAACGACAGGCAAAAGUGAGAGAAAUGCCAGGAAGUCCUGAGCUUGCUAUGAAAUUAGA